CAUUGCUGUAGUGAAUCUUGAUCAUAGCUUUCACACCAACUGAUAGUUUGUUUCGCUACAAGAGGAACUGAACACGUGAUCCAAUGGGACUUAAUUCCUCUUUUUACAUGUACUAAUACAGAAUAUAGAGUUGUGACAUCUGUGGGACAAAUAAAAACAGAUUCUAUAAAUAUACUUUAGGUCGCAUGACAUGGACGUUAUUGAAAGGUAACUCCUUUGGGAUAUUUCCUGUCAGCAGCGAAUGAUUUGCAUGGUUGUUACUGGUUUUAAGUUUUUACAACGGAUGCUCUUUCUGACACAACCCCUCUAUUUAUCCGGGCACAGAAGUCAUUGGCUUGCAACUGCAAUUCAUAUCUGUGACCUGGGCAGCACAACGCUAACGCUAACCCUGCACUAAACGGCCGGUACAUGGAAGUUGUUAAUAUAUAAUUAUAAAUAGCCUUCAGUAAAAAGCAAGUGAGCUUCAGGGAGCAGACACUGGUCCUCAGUAGAUGCAAUGGGACAGAGGGUCUGUAAACCUGGAUCAGGUCUCAGGUAAGAAGGAGCUGCUGAUCUGAUCUUUCUGCAUGUAAGUUUUCAUGGUAUAAUAUGUAGCGGAUUCAAAUUAAUAUUUUAAUAUUAAUGUAGAAACAUUAAUAUUCCUCGAAGUGGAGGCACCAGGUUUGUUGAGUUGAGCAGGCGUGCCCUCUCUGAUCCAGGUCCCACGGCCUCUGGGUUAGGAAUCGUCGAUGACGGCUCGGGGUCAGCAAAGUUACAGUCAGGCAGGUUGAACUUUACAAGGUGUUUAAAAACAUCAGCACUACUUAAACUAGCCAAAAAGGGAAACGGGCUGAAAUCAGAUUUAAUUAGUUAAAUUUAAAAGUCAACUAAGGACUGUUUGUAAAUUGCGUAUUGUCUUGAGAUGACUUUCUAAAGUAACAAAAUGUUACUGGGGGGUGUUUUCCAACCAUUACUGUGUUUUACCAUGUCUGUGCCUCAGACAAACAUUCCAGAAACCUGCUUAUUUCAUAGAAACACCCAGACAUUUACCAGGUGAACACUCUGACUCUGGAAGACAACAAUGAGCCACAUCGUCUGAUUCUGUCACAACUUUUACUCAGUGUUUAGAGUUUGAACACGUACAGUACUUGCAGAAACAACCAUGGCGGAGUUACGUUCACUGACUCUAGCAGAAAAUGUUCUCUGGUGCUGCUCCGUGGACAACAUUUCCUCUUUGACUUCUCACUCCCAGUCGGCUCCUUGGCUCUUUCCUAUAUUUAAUAAUGAAACCACACUCCACCACAUCACAAGAACUUCAGUAGUUUUACAUGCUCUAUUGUUUGUUCGUACAUUUAAACCUCCACUCCACUGAUUUCUUUCCUCUUCCUGGUGAAUAUUAGAGUUUUGGUUUUUCUCACUGAACCUUUAAAUGCCCAUGAAUGUAACCGUUCCACAACCACAUUCACUGCCUCUUGUGCCUUUGUUUAAUACGUCUGAUGUUUCUUCCUCUUUUCUGCAGCGCUCCAUCAAACAAACAAGAAUCGGUUUAUAUAAAAACCUAAUUUAUCCAGAUAGAAACAGUAGUGGAUUAAUGCCACCAACCUGAGGGAACAUUAUCUACCAGAUACUUUACAGACACAGACUUCCACCUCUGACCUGAAUAAAUGUGUUAAUAACAAAUCUUUGUUCUUCCUGAAAUCUCUAUUGUCUUUACUUUAAUCACGAGUCCCUCCUUCCAAACCAUCAUUUAUACAACUUUCUCACUGCCAUUACUGAUUCCUUCUAUCAAACAUACACUCGGGUCCAUGGAGGCUCUGUCUCCUGAUUCCUCUGAUAACGGGACAGACUUCCCUUUGUUUCCAGGUAACAUGUCAGUCUGUCAGGGAUCGUUCUGUCCUUUAUCUGACUUAGAUGUGACGUUAGAGCUGUUGGCCUCUAGUUUACAAGUCAUGAUGGAUUCUUCCCUGGUUUCCUAAUAAGAAUAAUCUCUGCUUCCUUCCAUCCAAACCCUGAUACUGCUCUUGUCAUUUAUUGACAGUUAAUGAAGGAUCCAUAACACCAGCAGCAUCAGCACUUCUCUCCAGAACUCCAGCAUGGGCUGUUCUAGUAAUAACAACAUUUACUGUUACUGAGUCUCUGUGUUGGGCGGAAGUGGAGAGACGACAUUCAGACUGAUUAUGAUCAUUCAGGGCAUCAUGAUCAUGAUGGGCAGGAACUCAAAGCUGAGACCAGAUGGUUGAUGUAAAACUGAUAAUCUAAGGAAUAAUCAACAUAACAUCACUGUGGCCAAUAAUUUUCUUUAUCAGGGAGUCGGGAUGACAUCGGAGAAGCUGUUAAACAUUCUAGAAGACUUGAAAGAUGAGUAUUUCUCUAAAUUCAACUGGUUCCUGCAGCAGCAUGGAAGCCUGGAAGGAUUCGAAGCCAUUAAAAAAAGGCGCCUGGAACACGCAUCACGAUUUGACACAGUGGAUGUGAUGGUGCAGGCAUACAAAGAACAUGGAGCAGUGGAGGUGACCAGAAAUGUUCUAAAGAAGAUCAGAAGGAACGACCUGGUGCAGAGUUUGUCUGACAGCAGCUCAAAACCAAGAGUUUGUUGCUGGAUGUAGAAGCAGCAUCAGGAGCAGUUCAGUGAUCCACCACUCAUCUGUUUCUCUGUCAGUGGAUGUCAGUGAUGCUGGGGAGACGUCAGAGACCAGACCACCUUCCUCCUCUCAGGCUCCUCUUCCUCAGACUGAAGAUGUGAUGGUUCCAGUACCAGAGCCACAGCCCAUCACAUAUUACCAGCAGACGCUUCAAUCAAACCUCCAAGACAAGUUUCGUUGUAUGAAAGAAGGCUGGUCAGAUGACAAACAACGUCUGGAUGACAUCUACACAGAGCUGUACAUCACAGCUGGGCCGGACACAUCAACACACAUCAACACACAACAUGAGGUUCGACAGGUUGAGAUCACACAGCAGAAGCAAAGUUCAGCAGAGGAGCCAGUGAAGCCCAGUGACCUGUUCAAACAUCCCCCUGGUAAAUACAGACCCAUCAGAACAGUGUUGACCAAUGGAAUCGCUGGUAUUGGAAAAACGGUCCUUGUGCACAAGUUUGUGUUAGACUGGACCCAAAAAAGGUCCAAUCGAGAUGUGCAUCUGAUUUUCCCCUUCACCUUCCGUCAGCUGAAUCUGCUAAAGGGACAGAAGUUUAGUUUGUCAGAGCUCAUUCAUGAAUGUAUCCCAGAAACUGUGUCCAUCAGUCUGGAGGCUCUGAAUUACAUCUUUAAACAUCUACCGUCAUCAGGAAACAGCAACUAUGACAAGGGCAGGUUUAAACUUCUGUUUGUGUUUGAUGGACGGUUCGGCUCACCGCUAUUCUCCGCGCUUAUGGGGUGCCAAAUUUAAAAGUAGAACCUAUAACUAGUUUUCUCACAUUUAACUAAAUGACACAACAUGUUUUCUCACAUUUAGUUAAAUGUGCAAAAGUCUAAAUGUAAAUGUUAAAUAUAAAUGUAAAUGUUAAAUAUAAAUGUAAAUGUUAAAUGUUAAAUCUAAAUGUUAAAUGUUAAAUGUAAAUGUUAAAUGUUAAAUGUAAAUGUUAAAUGUUAAAUGUUAAAUGUAAAUGUUAAAUGUUAAAUGUUAAAUGUUAAAUGUUAAAUGUUAAAUGUAAAUGUUAAAUGUUAAAUCUAAAUGUUAAAUGUAAAUGUUAAAUGUUGGCCGAGUGUAAAACUGAAUAUUCAUGAAUGGGCAAGUAGACUCCAUCCCUACCCUCAAACAGCGCUGGUCUCAGAUCAGAGACGCGAACUCAAACACGACAUGUGUGUCACUGUUUCCUGCACUGUGGAAGUAACAGCCUAGUGCUGAAGGAGCUGCUCAGAGCCUCUAUAGUGGUGCAGGGGGUGGAGGGGUUCUCCAUAACAGAUGUUAGUUUGACCAACAUCCUUCUGUCCACCACCUCCUCCAUGGACUCCAGUGUGCAGUCUAGGACAGAGCUUUCUGAACCUGCUUGUUCAGUCUCUUCCUGUGUCUACCUGAACUGCCCCCCCCAGCACACAACUCCAUACAGGACUACUGAGGCCACCACAGUGUCAUAGAAAGUCCAUAGCAGCUGUUUGCCCACACCAAAGGAUCUCAGUCUCCUCAGCAGGUGGAGGUGACUCUGGCCCUUCUUAUAGAGAGCGUCCGUUUUGUUUGACCAGUCCUGUUUAUUGUGGAGGUGAACACUCAUGUAUUUAAAUGAGUCCACAGUCACAAUGUCUGAGCCCUGGAGGAUCACUGAUGUGGUGGAGGGGUUGUUAUGGGAAAAAUUGUCGCUUCUUUAUUUCUAUGUCUCUUCCUUACUUCUAUGCAGUUAUUAUAUGAUUUAUGACUUAUGUUCUGCAAUUAAUAUCUUAUGUUUUGUCUUACUGUAUGCAUUUGACAUUUCACCUAGACUGUUCAAUGGUUGUCUCUGCCUGAUAGACUCUCAACUCUAGCUCCCAAACCCAAGGUCGGGGAGUUGUGUCUCUGUCUGUUGAGACUUGGUGCUCCUUUCUCACAGAUAGUUGGACGUCAGCGAUGCAGGUGUGAGAAUGUAAAUAUCUUCACACACACUGCGACAGGAAGGAGAUGGUGCAUGUAAUUUGAUUGGGUUAGAAAGACAUUCCACCCUAGUCGGACAGAGAGGCUAAAAGGCAGAAGCAACUUGAGGAUCGUGGGCUCUUUGCAUCACACCUUCGUGGUGUGUGCACUGAUCUCCCCAGCUGGUUUUUGGUUUGUUGAUGUGCACGAUCAACAUCCAUGCUUUUUAUUUGCUUUCCCCAUUAUUUUUAUUUUCUUUAUUAUUUCAAUAAAUCGCACAAAAGGACAA